AGUCCUGAGGUGUCAUCACGUGAGAUUGCAAAUCUUAAAAAGUAGGCUAAAACCUGCCGGGACUU
rnacentral:tRNA from 1 species